UGGCGCUUUCUAACUUUACUGA
rnacentral:miRNA from 1 species